AGCUUUGCACAGUGGCAGUAUCGUAGCCAAUGAGGUUUAUCCGAGGCGCGAUUAUUGCUAAAAGAACAACAGAUUAGAAGGGUAAGUUAAAAUUAAUGUGAAUUUUUAUCAGGGUAUGUCUUUUCAUUAAAAAA
ensembl:snRNA U4 U4 spliceosomal RNA